AUCACUUCCUCUUGUGAUUCUGACGUCUAAGUGUAAGCACUCAGACCUGGCUGAUGUGUUUACACCAGAGUGCUCCUUCAUCUUGUGGUUCAGGGUGCGGAGGCCUUGAAUGGCUCUUGUGCGUGACCCAUCAGGUCCUGUGAUAUUUGGAAUAAACAACACUGGUCACCGAACAUUGAGCAGUCGCCACCCUUCUCGCCCAGGAGCAUGUCGACAGCUAUGCGGUUCUGGAAAGUCAUGAUUAUGAGCCAUCACCGGCGCGACGACAUGGACCAAUGAAGAAAGUGGCAAGUGAGCGUAAGCCUCAGGCAUCUUUGGAGUGGCACCACAGAGACACAACAUAUGGCCCCAGCGAAAGUAAGGUUCAAACAG